GACGGAGGAUGCAAGUGUUAUCCGGAAUCACUGGGCGUAAAGCGUCUGUAGGUGGUUCGAAAAGUCCACUGUUAAAAAUUGAGGCUUAACUUCAAAGAUGCCGUGGAAACUUUCAAACUAGAGUAUGGUAGGGGUAGAGGGAAUUUCCGGUGGAGCGGUGAAAUGCGUAGAGAUCGGAAAGAACACCAACGGCGAAAGCACUCUGCUGGGCCGACACUGACACUGAGAGACGAAAGCUAGGGGAGCGAAUGGG
rnacentral:rRNA from 1 species